rnacentral:rRNA from 1 species
GAUGAACGCUGGCGGCGUGCCUAAUACAUGCAAGUCGAGCGAACAGACGAGGAGCUUGCUCCUCUGACGUUAGCGGCGGUCGGGUGAGUAACACGUGGAUAACCUACCUAUAAGACUGGGAUAACUUCGGGAAACCGGAGCUAAUACCGGAUAAUAUAUUGAACCGCAUGGUUCAAUAGUGAAAGACGGUUUUGCUGUCACUUAUAGAUGGAUCCGCGCCGCAUUAGCUAGUUGGUAAGGUAACGGCUUACCAAGGCAACGAUGCGUAGCCGACCUGAGAGGGUGAUCGGCCACACUGGAACUGAGACACGGUCCAGACUCCUACGGGAGGCAGCAGUAGGGAAUCUUCCGCAAUGGGCGAAAGCUUGACGGAGCAACGCCGCGUGAGUGAUGAAGGUCUUCGGAUCGUAAAACUCUGUUAUUAGGGAAGAACAAAUGAGUAAGUAACUAUGCACGUCUUGACGGUACCUAAUCAGAAAGCCACGGCUAACUACGUG